rnacentral:tRNA from 1 species
UUAAUUGAAGCCAAAAUAGAGGCUUUCUAAUGUUAAUAGAAUCAAUGAUUAAUUAAAUCCAAUUAAA